GAUCCUGGCUCAGGAUUAACGCUGGCGGCGUGCCUAAUACAUGCAAGUCGAAUGGUAGCAAUACCAUGGCGAACGGGUGAGUAACACGUAGGUAACCUGUCUUUAAGCCGAGGAUAACCAUUGGAAACGAUGGAUAAUACUGGAUAGGACAUUUGAAGGCAUCUUUAGAUGUUUAAAGAUUUAUCACUUAGAGAGGGGCCUGCGGCGCAUUAGCUAGUUGGUGAGGUGAAGGCUUACCAAGGCGAUGAUGCGUAGCCGGACUGAGAGGUUGAACGGCCACAAUGGAACUGAGAACGGUCCAUACUCCUACGGGAGGCAGCAGUAGGGAAUUUUCGGCAAUGGGCGGAAGCCUGAACCCGAGCAACGCCGCGUGAACGAAGAAGUAUUUCGGUAUGUAAAGUUCUUUUAUUAGGGACGAAAAGACAGAUUGACGGUACCUAAUGAAUAAGCUCCGGCUAACUACGUGCCAGCAGCUGC
rnacentral:rRNA from 1 species